AUUGAACGCUGGCGGCAUGCUUUACACAUGCAAGUCGAACGGUAACAGGUUAAGCUGACGAGUGGCGAACGGGUGAGUAAUGCAUCGGAACGUGCCCGAUCGUGGGGGAUAACACUUCGAAAGAAGUGCUAAUACCGCAUACGAUCUGAGGAUGAAAGCGGGGGACCGUAAGGCCUCGCGCGAUCGGCGCGGCCGAUGUCAGAUUAGGUAGUUGGUGGGGUAAAGGCUCACCAAGCCGACGAUCUGUAGCUGGUCUGAGAGGACGACCAGCCACACUGGGACUGAGACACGGCCCAGACUCCUACGGGAGGCGGCAGUGGGGAAUUUUGGACAAUGGGCGCAAGCCUGAUCCAGCAAUGCCGCGUGCAGGAAGAAGGCCUUCGGGUUGUAAACUGCUUUUGUACGGAGCGAAAAGGCUCCCUCUAAUACAGGGGGCUCAUGACGGUACCGUAAGAAUAAGCACCGGCUAACUACGUGCCAGCAGCCGCGGUAA
rnacentral:rRNA from 1 species